GCCCCCGAAAGUUUUUGCGACGGAGUUUUCCCUCUUGUUGCCCAGGCUGAAGUGCAAUGGCGCGAUCUCGGCUCACCGCAACCUCCGCCUCCAAGGUUUAAGCGAUUCUCCUGCCUCAGCCUCCCGACUAGCUGGGAUUACAGGCAUUCACCACCAAGCCCGUCUAAUUUUAUAUUUUUAGUAGAGACGGGAUUUCCCCAUGUUGGUCAGGUUGGUCUCGAGCUCCCGACCUCAGGUGAUCGCCCGCCUCGACCUCCCAAAGUGCUGGGAUUACAGGCGUGAACCACCGUGCCCGGCCUUGGCCGCAUGUGUUUUGAAUUUUGCUGCCCGGAAUUCACUGCGAGGACUGGGAUCACCCGUCACCCCGCCCUGGUCUACGGAAAAUGAAAUGUGUUUACUGAUAUAGAAACGGAAUAACGGCGCUGUGGGCUGGGGAGGGCCGAGCUGCCUUCAGGCUUCUGGUCUCCAGCUGCAGGGCACUCACACCUGCCCGUUAUGAAAAUGCAGACCCGCAGGGCAGGAAUUCCGAGUCCGGGCUGGAGCGUGAUCUGGAAUCCGGCUCUCUUGAAACAGCACCGCGGAGGAUUCGGAUCCGGGUGAGUAGGAAACUGCGCCUCAGCCCCUCCCACGGGCCGCCCACGUAUUCCAGGAUCCGAAAACGCUUCCUGCUGCUCCGUCACCCCAGGAAGGCAGCGUCCGCCUCUGGGCGGUUCUGAUGGAAACCGGCUGCGCCGCCCGCAGGAAAACCCACAACUAAGGGGCCAGGAAAAAGCCUCUUAGGGUCCCGCCACUUCAGUGAGGAUCCUAAUUUACACCCUUAGUUUGGCCUCCAUGAAAGACUGGAGUGACCUUCACUGAAAUGAUACAAGGGGCCCAGGGAGCUGCGGCGCUCAGAAUGCGGUGACAGCGCCGCCUCGCGUCCCUUCCCUGACCUGCUCCCGGCGGACGCGGAGAAGUUUGUUGGCCUGGAGGCUGGAAUAUACCGGGGAUCAAAUGCAGAGAAUGGAGAAAAGAGGGAAGGAUGGGGGGACGUGUUGAAGAAAUGAGGGAAGAGAUAGGAAGAAAAGGGGAGAGAAAAAGUAAAGGAGAGUUUUUUUGUUUUUUGUUUUUUUUUUUUGAGACGGAGUCUUGCUCUGUCGCCCAGGCUGGAGUGCAGUGGCGCGAUCUUGGCUCACUGCAAGCUCCGCCUCCCGGGUUCAGGGCAUUCUGCUGCCUCAGCCUCUGGAGUAGCUGGGACUACAGGCUCCUGCCACCACGCCCGACUAAUUUUUUGUAUUUUUAGUAGAGACGGGGUUUCACUGUGUUAGCCAGGAUGGUCUCGAUCUCCUGACCUCGUGAUCUGCCUGCCUUGGCCUCUCAAAGUGCUGGGAUUACAGGCGUGAGCCACCGCACCCGGCCGGAGAGAGAAAAUUUAAAAGACGUAGUUUCAUUAUUUCUUUUAUUUUUGCCCUUUAUCUAGUUUUACUUAUGAACAUUUUUACCACAAAUUUCUCUCUCUCUAAAUCUGUAAAUAUGCUGCUAUUAUUGUUAUUUCAGAGCCUGUGAGGGUAAGUUGCAGACAGCAUGACCCUCUACCUCCAGAUGUGUCAGGGUGUGUCUCCUGGGCACAAGAACAGGGUUUUUGUUUUGUUUUGUUUCACAUAAGCAAAGUACAAGUCUCAAAGAGGAUAAUAUUUUUAAAUCAUCUUAUUGGGACAUACUUUGCAUGCAAUAAACUGCAUCUAUUUAAAAUGUUCAACUUGUUGAAUUUUAGCUGUUGUACACACCCACAUCUCCACUACCACAGUGAAGAUAAAGAAGAUUUUAAUCGUCUCCCAAAGAACAGCUACACGAUAAAAUUCUAUGUUGUCAUUAAAAAGAGUAAGAGCAAUUUUAAGUAUUGCUAUGAAAAGAUGUGCCCAGCAUACUUUUAACCUUUUUUAAAAGGUUAAGGAGGCUGGGCACAGUGGCUCAUACCUGUAAUCCCAGAACUUUGGGAGGCUAUGGCAGGCAGAUAACCUGAGGUCAGAAGUUCAAGAUCAGCCUGGCCAACAUGGUGAAACCCUGUCUCUACUGAAAAUGCAAAAAUUAGCCGGGCGUGGUGGUGGGUGCCUGUAGUUCCAGCUGUUUGGGAGGCUGAGGCAGGAGAAUCGCUUGAAUCUGGGAGGUAGAGGUUAGAGUGAGCCGAGAUCAUGCCACUGCAUUCCAGCCUGGGCGAAAAUGCCACUAAUAUCACUUACAUAAUAUUAAUAUAUAUUUGAAGUAGGGGAAAACCUGGAAGAUUCCUCACCAAAGUUUUGACAGUGACUCCAGAGACUGGGAUAACUUUGUGACUUUCAUUUCCUCUUAAAUGUUGUGCCAGGGUCUGACCGGCAGACCCAGGCUGCACGAUGGAUGAAUAAUGUACUCAGACACCGAUAUUCAGUGAAAGAGUGCACCAGAGGGCCAGGCCACUCACAGAAAGGGUUGUGGCAGCUGCGUGCCCUGACUAUCUGGCCCUGUGGGCCUUUAUUCAGCACAGAUUUAAUGACAAAGGCUUUGAGUCAACACACCUGUGGGUAAUUAAUCUGGUCGCAGUCCCCCGGAGAGAGCAGUCCUACAAAUGAUCAAAGGUAAACAUGCUCUUUAGAUAAACUCUCUUACAUGUCUUUGUACUUACUCGAAGCUAUUAACUCAAGGUAAGGGGAUUAGGCUGCUUUCAGCUAUAACCCUAUCCUGAGGCUUUUGCAAAACUUUCCACCUUCCAAGAAGGUUUGUGUCUAUUUCCUAUAACUUUAUCUUUAUAAUUAUUCCCACCACCUGACCAAUCCCCUACAAUGUUGGAAUUUUAUCUUUUAGUGUAAACUUGGAUUUGGGUGGAUUGCAGUGGUUCAUGACUAUAAUCCCAGCUCUUUGGGAAUCGAAGGCAGGAAGAUUGCUUAAGCCCAGGAGUUCCAGGCUGCAGUGAGCUAUGAUUGUGCCAUUGCACUCCAGCCUGAGUGACAGGAGGAGACCCUGUCCCCAAAACAGAAAAAUAAAUAAAAUUUUAAAAUAAUAAAAAUUAUAAACUUGGAUUUAUGUGGAGGUUAAGGAAGAGAAUAUUUCAGUUUGAAAAUAUGAAGCUAAGCCCCACAACGAAAUAGUUACAGAGUUUUAAAAAAGAAAAUGUUCAUUAAAACCCACCACCAGAAACUCUCUUUCAAGAGGAUCCUUCAUAUUUUCAUGGCAUUGAAUCUUUCUUAAAGUGCAUUUGAAAGAGAUGUUUUCAGUGGAAUAGAGAGAUGUGUAACAAUAUUUACAAAAGCGGUUGGCUGUAAUAAAAAGGAAAACGCAAAUGAGUGGGGACACAGGGGACCCUGUUCCAUUUAUUCUCAAAGCACGUUUGAAAACUGCGUUGCCAUAGCGUCCUUGGGUAGAGGCAAAGUCGAGGCAGAUCUUGUUCCUGGAGUAUUGAUUUGAUUUUGGAAACGGUCCAAGGCUUUCAGAAAUCAGGCUGACUUUCAGAUCUAAAGUCUCAAGAAUAUUCGUUCUAGCAGUGAGCCUGUGAGAAUCUAGCCCAUCUGGGCGAUGCACGCUCUGCUUCCACCUAGUGGCAGUGAUUGGAAGGACAGGGCACAGUGUUACUGCAUGGGUGGGGCUGAAGCCAAGGUGAAACCGCCUUUGCAAAAUUAUAACUAAGGAAAUGAUGACAGUGAAAGACAUCAAACCUAACUGACCCCAUCUUGCUUCCAACCGCUAAACUGCCCUUCUUCAUUUCUAGGCGUAGGCUGAACUAGCCUUGGGAAGGAAUUUAGUUUAUAGUUUAAAGGGAAACUGUUCUUGUAAAACGAAGAAAGGCCACCGGCCAUUAAGUUAGGAUGAGAGGGGCUGGAAUUCUGAAUAUUACCAGCCAUUAUUCCAGAGGUCAUAAGAUUUGCAACUUCUCCAGUUACUCUUGAAGGUAACAUCACUAUUGUGAACCUCAGAGUGGCCUUUUGAGAUGUCUUUUCAGGUUUUUGUAUUUUUAACAGCUGGAGGGCCCCAUCUGGACCUGCCAACCAGUCCUGUGGCCCCCACGUUCAGGAACUGACUCAGCCUAAGAGAAUGGCCUCCACUCACUAUGAUUUCAUACCGGAGCCAACCAGUCAGCACUCCCGAUUCACUGGCCCCCCUAUCCACCAAAUUAUCCUUAAAAACUGAUGAGAGUUUUUGGGGAGACUGAUUUGAGUAAUAAAACUCUGGUCUCCCGCACAGCUGGCUCUGCAUGAAUUACUCUUUCUCUGUUGCAAUUCUCCUGUCUUGAUAAAUCGGCUUCGUCUAGGUAGCCGGCAAGAUGAACCCACUUGGUGGUUACAAAGGGAGUCCAGGCCAGUGUGCAUUACUGUAGUGGGGUCCAGGUAGCGGAGGAAAGGCGAGGACACUCAGGGAAUAAAUGGCAGAGGAAGAAGGAGCACAAGGGAGGACCCAAACCCUCCAGACCUCUCCUUCCUUCUCUCCCUGUUAGGGUUGGAGGGAACCAGCGUGGUCCCAGGAGGGGUGGCUGGUGGGGUGCAGAAAACGCCCUGGUUGCAAAGGGGCCUCACGUGCCCGACACAAGGGUCCUGGCUGUUAGCUGCUACUCAUGAGUUCAAACUAGGAGGAGGCUCACAUGUGUCCUUUGCAAAGUAGACUCCUUAUCUCCCACUCCGGCUGGUUUCCCAAAUCCAUCCUGAUAAAGCAGAAAAACCAAGAGCCAAAUUCUGCGGGUGACCUUUCUGACAGCUGGAAGGUCCUCCCCAUCCCCAUUCCUUGCGUGCUCUCCUCUUGUCCUGCCCCCUCUGCUUUGUCUCCACUUCCUCAUCCUUUUCCCUCUCUGGACCCUGCUCCUGAGUAUCUCCCACCUUCUUCAGACAACUUCUCCUCAUGAAGUACAGAGUCCCCCACCUCCAGGAAAAAGAGACAAAGACCACGAGAAGGACCUGAGAAACGCCUGUGACCCCGCCCCUGAGUCCAGCCUCUCCCUCAGCGCUGGCUCUGGCUGUGUGUGUGUGUAUGUAUUUUUGUUUUGUUUGUUUGUUUUUGAGACAGGGUCUCACUCUGACAGUCUGCAGUGUCCUGAUCACAGCUUACUGCAGGCUCCAACUCCUGGACUCAGGCAAUCCUCCCACCUCAGCUUCUCGAGUAGCUGGGACUACAGA
rnacentral:lncRNA from 1 species